ACAAAGAAAGAAAGAAAAGAAACAGAGAGCAAAACAAAACAGAGAAGGGAGAAAGAAAGAAACAGAGAGCAAAACGAAACAGAGAAGGAAGGAAGGAAAGAAAGAAAGAAAAGAAAAGAAAAAGGGAAAUUUGGGGUUUUAAGGUUCAAAGUAAUUUGAUCAAGAAGUACGAAACUCGAGGUUAGACAAAGGGAAGAAUAAAGUUGAAGACUAAGUUGGUGAAUUUGGCUAUAAUUUGUACCGAGGUAAGUUUACGGUAAAUAAAUGCAAUAUUUCAAUAUUUAUUAUUAAUGCUGUUAAUUUCCAGCAAUUAUGAAUUUAUUUGAUGAUGAUCCAAGCAUGAAAUGAUAGAGAAUAAAAAUUUAAAAGUCCCGUUGAUACAUAAGGAUGGUACUGGAUACGAAUGUCAUGACAUUUGGGUAAAGAGAUCCCAUGUAAGACCAUGUCUGGGACAUGGCAUUGGCAUCCUUAAGAUCAUGAGAGGUCCCCUGUAAGACCAUGUCUGGGACAUGGCAUGGGCACCGAGACGAGAGGUCCCAUGUAAGACCAUGUCUGGGACAUGGCGUUGGCACCGAGAUGAGAGGUCCCCUAUAAGACCAUGUCUGGGACAUGGCAUGGGCACCAUCACGAGAACAUCCCAUGUAAGACCAUGUCUGGGACAUGGCUUUGGCAUGUUAUUAUCAGAAGAGACCCGAGUAUCCUUAUUAUUCCAAUGUAGUUCAACGGGCUUGUAAACGAAUCAUGUUCAUGAAAGUUCAGUUUAAAGCAUAAAUGGCAAGCUCAGGUAAGUUGUAAGACUUAAGAACUUAUUAUACUAUCAAUUGAUGUUCAACGAUGCAGCAAGGAUUGAGUAAGUUAUGCACACAAAUAUUCUAAGUAAACAAGUAAGAGAACUAGUAUGAGAUUAACUAAAGAGUAAACUAGAGAUAUAGACAUUGAGUUUAAUUAUUUAAGUUAAAUAUUGUUAUUUAUUUGCUAGUAAACUUACUAAGCUUUAUGCUUACUUCUUUUAUUUCUCUUUCUCUUAUAGUAUUGCAAAGCUACUUCAAGGAUCCUAAAGAAGUCGGAGAUCGUCCACACUAUCAACUACAACUGCUCGGUAUUUUAUAUCGAAACACGUUUAAGUUAUGGCAUGUAUAGGGAUUUAGUUAUUUUGUAUGUUUGUAGUGAUGAUUUUGCUAAUGAGUGAUGUGUAAGUAUUUGAUGAUGUAUGAUUAUUAAAAUGAUUAAGGAUGAAGGUGUUUGUUGUUAUGAAAGAUUAGGUGAUAAAUUAUGCAUGGAAAUCAUGAAAGGAUAAAAUUUUGCAAAGAAACAGAAUUCAGGCAGCACAGUGACGUGAAUUUGAAAAAUCACCCAAGAUAGUAUAAAAUGAAUUAGAGGGUGAAUGAUAUAUGGAAUUAAAGCUUGUUGAGUCUAUUUUCAUGGAAAAAAACGGUGUAGAAAAAAAGAAAUUUAUAUUUUAAGAUAUGUGAAUUUUAGUAAGAUAGGGUCAGAACUGUUUUUUUGGAGUCCCCUGUUCUGAGUUUAGAAAAUAAUUACAAAUUGUACAAAAAUGUUUAUGAGUUGAAAUUUACAUGCUUAGAUUCCUUGAUGAGUCUAUUUUCUAUAGAAACAAGUAAUAACUUCAUAUGAAAAUCCUAUAGUGAGAAAACUUAUUUUUAGUGACUAGAGGUCAGGGCAGUCUGGUGGUGACACAGGGGAGACUUUAACUAAUAAACUGUACUAAUUUGCUAAACCAAAAAUUCUAAAAAUUUUAUGGUGAGUAGAUAUAUGAGUCUAGUUUCAGGGAAAAUUUACGGGAUUAAAUUUCGAGUUCUGUAGCUCAAGUUAUAAUUAAUUUAGUAACUGCUGCGCGAUUAGACAGAUUUGCUGCGAAUAAUGAAAUAAAUUUUCAAACCUAGUUUUUAUGCUCCGAAUUGGUAAGAUAAGAUAAGUAAUUGUAACAGCCCAAUUUUCAGUAGUGUCAGAACAGUGAUUUGAGAUCACUAAAUUCGAUGAAGAAGUUAGAAAUAUUUUUGAAUUAGUGAAUUUUGUGAUUUAAAAGAAAUUAUUAGGUAAAUUGGGUCGAAAACGAGGUAUCGAGACCUCGAUAUUAUAAACUGAGCCGUAAAUAUUUUUAUAAAUAUUUACGGAGUGUCAAUAGGAUAAUAUUAAAGUUUCGUUAAGAAAUUUUAAUGUUUCGAUAGUUAAUUAUGAAAAAGGAUUAAAUUGCAAUAGGGAUAAAAGUUUAAUUAUAGAUUAAAGAAAAGUUAAAAGGACCAAAUAGGCAAUUAUGCCUUUUUCUAAAGUUGAGGCGGCAUAAUGAAAGAAAUAUCUGAGAUAUUCUAGUUAAUAUAUAUUAUAUAUAUGUAAGUAAUGAUUAUUAUUAAUAUUUUAUAUUAUAUUAUAUUAUAUAUAUAUAACAAAAGAAAGAAUAGAAAUGAGAAAGAAAGAAACAGAGAGCAAAACGAAACAGAGAAGGGAGAAAGAAGAAAAAGAAAGAGCGACGGUUCAGGGGUUUCAAAACUUCUAAAUUCAAUUGGUAAGUCAAUUUAGUCCAUUUUUCUUAUGGUUUUGAUAUUUUUGGAAUCCUAGAGCAAGAUACUACUUGAUUUAAGUGGAAAUUUUGGAAGUUAGUAGGUUAUUAGAUGUUGUUCAUGUUGAAUUAAUUGAUGAAUUAGAUGUUAAAAUGAUUGAAUUUUAAGUUAAAAGUUAGUAAAAGGUUGAUUUGUAAAAUAAAACAUAAGUUUUGAAUUGAUAGGAAUUAAAUUGAAAGAAUCCCGAAAUUAGGGAUUUAUGGGGAAAUUGAAGAAUUAAACUGAGUUUAUAGUAAGAAUUAAGAGAGAAUAGAGUUAGAAUGCAAAAAUAAAAUUAGUAUUGAUAAGGGAUUAAAUUAGAAUUUGAUGUUGCCAUAGAAGGGAAAAAUGUUCAGAAUGUUAUAAAACAUAAGAAUAAGAGAUGAAGUUUAAUUUCCGAGCCUUGGGGCAAAAAUAUAAUUAUGUAAAAGUUUAGGGGCAAAAUUGUAAUUUUGAAAAAGUUAGAGUCGAGGGCUAUUUUGAUGAAUGUGAUUAUUAAAUAAGUUAAAUUUACUAUUUUAGAUCAAGAAGUACGAAACUCGAGGUUAGACAAAGGGAAGAAUAAAGUUGAAGACUAAGUUGGUGAAUUUGGCUAUAAUUGGUACCGAGGUAAGUUUACGGUAAAUAAAUGCAAUAUUUCAAUAUUUAUUAUUAAUGCUGUUAAUUUCCAGCAAUUAUGAAUUUAUUUGAUGAUGAUCCAAGCAUGAAAUGAUAGAGAAUUAAAAUUUAAAAGUCCCGUUGAUACAUAAGGAUGGUACUGGAUACGAAUGUCAUGACAUUUGGGUAAAGAGAUCCCAUGUAAGACCAUGUCUAGGACAUGGCAUUGGCAUCCUUAAGAUCAUGAGAGGUCCCCUGUAAGACCAUUCUGGGACAUGGCAUGGGCACCGAGACGAGAGGUCCCAUGUAAGACUAUGUCUGGGACAUGGCGUUGGCACCGAGAUGAGAGGUCCCCUAUAAGACCAUGUCUGGGACAUGGCAUGGGCACGAUCACGAGAACAUCCCAUGUAAGACCAUGUCUGGGACAUGGCUUUGGCAUGUUAUUAUCAGAAGAGACCCGAGUAUCCUUAUUAUUCCAAUGUAGUUCAACGGGCUUGUAAACGAAUCAUGUUCAUGAAAGUUCAGUUUAAAGCAUAAAUGGCAAGCUCAGGUAAGUUGUAAGACUUAAGAACUUAUUAUACUAUCAAUUGAUGUUCAACGAUGCAGCAAGGAUUGAGUAAGUUAUGCACACAAAUAUUCUAAGUAAACAAGUAAGAGAACUAGUAUGAGAUUAACUAAAGAGUAAACUAGAGAUAUAGACAUUGAGUUUAAUUAUUUAAGUUAAAUAUUGUUAUUUAUUUGCUAGUAAACUUACUAAGCUUUAUGCUUACUUCUUUUAUUUCUCUUUCUCUUAUAGUAUUGCAAAGCUACUUCAAGGAUCCUAAAGAAGUCGGAGAUCGUCCACACUAUCAACUACAAAUGCUCGGUAUUUUAUAUCGAAACACGUUUAAGUUAUGGCAUGUAUAGGGAUUUAGUUAUUUUGUAUGUUUGUAGUGAUGAUUUUGCUAAUGAGUGAUGUGUAAGUAUUUGAUGAUGUAUGAUUAUUAAAAUGAUUAAGGAUGAAGGUGUUUGUUGUUAUGAAAGAUUAGGUGAUAAAUUAUGCAUGGAAAUCAUGAAAGGAUAAAAUUUUGCAAAGAAACAGAAUUCAGGCAGCACAGUGACGUGAAUUUAAAAAAUCACCCAAGAUAGUAUAAAAUGAAUUAGAGGGUGAAUGAUAUAUGGAAUUAAAUCUUGUUGAGUCUAUUUUCAUGGAAAAAUAACGGUGUAGAAAAAAGAAAUUUAUAUUUUAAGAUAUGUGAAUUUUAGUAAGAUAGGGUCAGAACUGUUUUUUUGGAGUCCCCUGUUCUGAGUUUAGAAAAUAAUUACAAAUUGUACAAAAAUGGUUAUGAGUUUAAAUUUACAUGCUUAGAUUCCUUAAUGAGUCUAUUUUCUAUAGAAACAAGUAAGAACUUCAUAUGAAAAUCCUAUAGUGAGAAAACUUAUUUUUAGUGACUAAAGGUCAGGGCAGUCUGGUGGUGACACAGGG
rnacentral:lncRNA from 1 species